rnacentral:rRNA from 1 species
CAGCAGCCGCGGUAAUACGUAGGGUGCGAGCGUUAAUCGGAAUUACUGGGCGUAAAGCGUGCGCAGGCGGUUCGUUAAGACAGAUGUGAAAUCCCCGGGCUUAACCUGGGAACUGCAUUUGUGACUGCAAGGCUAGAGUACGGCAGAGGGGGAUGGAAUUCCGCGUGUAGCAGUGAAAUGCGUAGAUAUGCGGAGGAACACCGAUGGCGAAGGCAAUCCCCUGGGCCUGUACUGACGCUCAUGCACGAAAGCGUGGGGAGCAAACAGGAUUAGAUACCCCGGUAGUCCCUGUCUCUUAUAC